UGGCGGCCAUAGCGCGGUGGUCCCACCUGACCCCAUGCCGAACUCAGAAGUGAAACGCCGUAGCGCCGAUGGUAGUGUGGGGUCUCCCCAUGCGAGAGUAGGACACUGCCAGGCA
rnacentral:rRNA from 2 species